rnacentral:rRNA from 1 species
UACGGGGGGAGCAAGCGUUGUUCGGAUUUACUGGGCGUAAAGGGCGCGUAGGCGGCCAGCACAAGUCAGUUGUGAAAUCUCCGAGCUUAACUCGGAAAGGUCAACUGAUACUGUGCGGCUAGAGUGCAGAAGGGGCAACUGGAAUUCUCGGUGUAGCGGUGAAGUGCGUAGAUAUCGAGAGGAACACCUGCGGCGAAGGCGGGUUGCUGGGCUGACACUGACGCUGAUGCGCGAAAGCUAGGGGAGCGAACGGG